UACGUAGGGGGCGAGCGUUGUCCGGAUUUAUUGGGCGUAAAGAGCGUGUAGGCGGCCAGGUAGGUCUGCUGUGAAAACUCGAGGCUCAACCUCGAGAUGUCGGCGGAAACCAUCUGGCUAGAGUCCGGAAGAGGAAAGUGGAAUUCCCGGUGUAGCGGUGAAAUGCGCAGAUAUCGGGAAGAACACCCGUGGCGAAGGCGGCUUUCUGGGACGGUACUGACGCUGAGACGCGAAAGCGUGGGGAGCGAACAGG
rnacentral:rRNA from 1 species